rnacentral:lncRNA from 1 species
UGGAUAAGAGUACCAUUCUUCGUGCUACAUGGAACUGCUGAUUCUGUAACCGACCCCAAAGCCUCUGAAAAACUCUAUGACGAGGCCUCUUCAAGUGACAAAACGAUCAAGCUCUAUGAAGGGUGCUUACAUGAUCUGCUAUUUGAACCUGAAAGAGAAGAAAUCAAGGAUAGCAUCAUUUCUUGGUUGAACAAUAGAUUGUGUGGAUAAGAGUACCAUUCUUCGUGCUACAUGGAACUGCUGAUUCUGUAACCGACCCCAAAGCCUCUGAAAAACUCUAUGACGAGGCCUCUUCAAGUGACAAAACGAUCAAGCUCUAUGAAGGGUGCUUACAUGAUCUGCUAUUUGAACCUGAAAGAGAAGAAAUCAAGGAUAGCAUCAUUUCUUGGUUGAACAAUAGAUUGUGAAGUAAUUGGACAGUCGAGCAUGCGAUGAAGAAAAAAAAAAUCAUCUAUUCCAGCAGGUUUAGGUGAUUUUGAUUGCUAGAAUUUUAUUGACU